UACGUAGGGGCCUAGCGUUGUCCGGAAUUAUUGGGCGUAAAGAGCUCGUAGGCGGCUUGUCGCGUCGGCUGUGAAAACCUGGGGCUCAACUCUGGGCGUGCGGUCGAUACGGGCAUCACUUGAGUUCGGCAGGGGAGACUGGAAUUCCUGGUGUAGCGGUGAAAUGCGCAGAUAUCAGGAGGAACACCGGUGGCGAAGGCGGGUCUCUGGGACGGUACUGACGCUGAGACGCGAAAGCGUGGGGAGCGAACAGG
rnacentral:rRNA from 1 species